GUGGCUGUAGCUCAACGGUAGAGCUCCAGAUUGUGGUUCUGGCCGCUGCGGGUUCGAGUCCCGUCAGCCACC
rnacentral:tRNA from 1 species